GCUUUUGUACACACCGCCCGUCGCUACUACCGAUUGAAUGAUUUAGUGAGAUCUUUGGACUGGUACGCGGCAUCGACUCUGUCGUUGCCGAUGCUACCGGAAAGAUGACCAAACUUGAUCAUUUAGAGGAAGUAAAUGUCGUAACAAGGUUUCCGUAGGUGAACCUGCGGAAGGAUCAUUA
rnacentral:rRNA from 1 species